rnacentral:rRNA from 1 species
UUGGAGGGCAAGUCUGGUGCCCGCAGCCGCGGUAAUUCCAGCUCCAAUAGCGUAUAUUAAAGUUGUUGCAGUUAAAAAGCUCGUAGUUGAAUUUCGGGAUCAAUGUUUCGGUCAUGCCGUUGGUAUGUACUGAUAUUAUUGAUUUCUCACCUUCUAAAGAACCGUAAUGCCAUUAAUUUGGUGUCACGGGGAAUUAGGACUGUUACCUUGAAAAAAUUAGAGUGUUUAAAGCAGGCUCACGCUUGAAUACAUUAGCAUGGAAUAAUGAGAUAGGACAUCCGAUUCUAUUUUGUUGGUUUCUAGGAUCGAUGUAAUGAUUAAUAGGGAUAGUUGGGGGCAUUAGUAUUCAAUUGCCAGAGGUGAAAUUCUUGGAUUUAUUGAAGACUAACUACUGCGAAAGCAUUUGCCAAGGAUGUUUUCAUUAAUCAAGAACGAAAGUUAGGGGAUCGAAGACGAUCAGGUACCGUCGUAGUCUCAACCAUAAACUAUGCCGACUAGGGAUCGGAUGAUGUUAAUUUUUUAAUGACUCAUUCGGCGCCUUACGGGAAACCAAAGUGUUUGGGUUC